AACUAUAUUAAUAAAUAGAUGUUAAUGGUGGGUACCCACUAGUACGACAAACCACUCGGUCGACGUUGUAAACAAAGGUAUUAUACGUCAUCACUAGGCAUUCGGUCGACGUAGAACGUCAUCAAUUUAUAUAUAGCAUAUACACUAGAUCUGUGACGUUUUGAAGAUUGAUACUAGCGCUACCUAAAACAUUCUUACCAGCUUUGUCUCUCUACAUUUUUCUACUUGUUUCUAUAUCCAACUAAAUUAUUUUCUUCUAAAACAAAGCAAUGGGUUUCUUCCUUGUUGAUCUUGACUUGCUGCUUGCUGGAACCGUUAGACCCAAAGCUUCGAUGUGAUAUUUUAUUAAAAUUUCAAGUUGAAAAUUAGCUUUCAUAGUUUAGUAAUAUACUAAAAAACAUUUUGGCUAUUUAUGUGUUUAACAUAACAACAUAGUGCAAUAAGGUUCACCUUGUAUGAUGUGACUAUCUUAUUCAAUAUUCUGGUUUUGAGGAAAGCAUUUGCCAAUCAUAUCGAACGUCCACCUUGUAUGAUGUGACUAUCUUCUUAUUCAAUAUUUCUGGUUUUGAGGUAAG